UUGCCAUUUACUCAGCUGGGCCAGGGGCGCUUUAAUUAGGUCAGCUGGAAAUGUCCGACAGAUCUCAACUCCAUAAAAGGAGGAAAUUGCCAUCGCCUGAUCUCGCUGCUUUCUCUUCCUUAACUCCAUCUCACCCAGAAGUUCUGUGCGUCCAUGAAUCCACCACAGACUACCCAGUAAAUAUACCACUUUAUGGUUAAAGGAA